CGGUAUUUUGACCGUGCUAAGGUAGCAUAAUCAAUUGUUUUUUAAUUGAAAACUAGUAUGAACGGUUUAAUUUACUUAAUUAGUUUGUAAUUUUUAAUAGUAAGUUAAAUAUAAAGUAAGAAUUCUUUAAUAAAUUAGGGGACGAUAAGACCCUAAAAGCUUUAUGAUUGGCAUUUAAUUAGUGAUAGCGGUGUUAUUAAUUCACUGGGGCAGUGAGUUUAGGUAUAUUUAAGUAUAAUUAAAAGCUCCUUUAAAUAAAGAUUUCAUGUAUAAGUUACUUUAGGGAUAACAGUGCAAUAUAUUUGGGGAGACCAUAUCUAUAAAUAUGAUUGCAACCUCGAUG
rnacentral:rRNA from 1 species